GCUCCCGAAGGAACCCUGCUUUGCUUGGAGGGGAGGAAAUGAACUGACGGGCGCUGGCUGCUGGCGUUCGAGCACCGGCUGUGGCUCAGUCGAAAAGGGCGCGGUUCUUGCCAGUUCACCUCCUCCAAAGCAGGUGACAAAAAAACAAAAAUCAACCAGCUGAUGGAGGGACACUGAUACCUACACAACAACCAUGAACAAUACUAGACAGACACACACUACCAUGUUGACACCACUUAGCAUUCAGCUGGUGUCUGGACGCACCCACCCCACCAUGGUGCCCUCUUGCGUCAUAAUCUAUGAGGACACCCCAAAUACACCUGUUUGUCCUGGACCGCAAUAUGGGUCAUCGAAUCUUCUUCCUGGUCUCGCCUAGUGAUGGCCUUGAUGUCGGAGCUGGGAUUGCCUAGCUGUAGCACCAGUCCUGCAAUGGUACCGACCCUGUUUGUCGUCUACCCUAUUUCCUGUCCGUCCGUCUGAUGGAUGUUGUUGGUCAACGCUAAAACAAGGUGGACAUCUAUGAUGGAGCAAGGGCCCCCACGUACCUUUUACUGAAACCUUCCUGGCCUAUGGGUGAGCUCAACCUAAGCUGAAAGGGCGCUUCCUAAUUUCCUGGCGCUAAAUAAAAUACAAGAAAUGAUGUCAGCCCUGCCUCAACAACUUUUCUAUAAUGGUUUCCUUAUUUAAAACCUUUAUUUUCAGAAGUUUUGUGUCAGGUAGCUGUCUGUCCGUCCGUCUAAGUCAAGCGUAUUGUCCUGUUUUAUGUAUGGGAAAAGGGCUCUGAUAGAGGGUACCUUUGGCGUUGUCGGCUGACCAACGCUGUGCUGUUAUCGCCUGGUUGGCUGAUGUUCCAACGUCGGGACAGUGGAGGUGGAGUUUUGGGUUUUUUUUAGUAUUUACUUUCUUCGUUUUAUCUUAUUUAUUUACAGAUAACUUUAUUUUCUUUUCUUUUCAGGUUAAUGUUUUUCUUUCUCUUUUCAGGUAUCGUUUUCUUUUCAGGUGUUUAGUGUUUUCUUCCCUUACAGCUUUUUACGUUCCUGUCUUUUUCGCCUUCUAACAACUUUCAAUUUUUAUCGUCUUUUAUUUCUUUAAGCAUUUUAAUGUUUUUAAUUUCCUUAUAGGUUUUAACUUCAGGUUCUUUACCUUUAUUAACAAUUUUGUUCGGAUUUUAGCCAAUGUUAAUUAUUCAUUUCUUUCGUUUCAGGUGUUAAUAUCUCUUUCUUUUCAGUCUUUUCUAAAACUUAACACAGCCAUUAAAUAUUCUUCAAAGCUUGUUUUUUAGUGUUUAAUUUUAAGUUCUUUUAUUUGCUUUUUAUCAAUUAGACAAACAAACGCUUUGAUAUUCAAUAAAACAACACUUUUUCACCGCGGUU